UUGCUGCAGCAGCUCAUACACUAAAAGUGGGCGACACAGAGAAGCUUAGCUUGGUCCUACACAAGGACGACACCCAAAUUCACAAUGUUCCUAUGUUUU
rnacentral:snRNA from 1 species